UACGUAGGGGGCUAGCGUUGUCCGGAUUUAUUGGGCGUAAAGAGCGUGUAGGCGGCCAGGUAGGUCUGCUGUGAAAACUCGAGGCUCAACCUCGAGAUGUCGGCGGAAACCAUCUGGCUAGAGUCCGGAAGAGGAAAGUGGAAUUCCUGGUGUAGCGGUGAAAUGCGCAGAUAUCGAGAGGAACACCUGCGGCGAAGGCGGGUUGCUGGGCUGACACUGACGCUGAGGAGCGAAAGCGUGGGGAGCGAACAGG
rnacentral:rRNA from 1 species